UACGGGGGGAGCAAGCGUUGUUCGGAUUUACUGGGCGUAAAGGGCGCGUAGGCGGCCACGACAAGUCAGUUGGGAAAUCUCUGGGCUUAACUCAGAACGGUCAACUGAUACUGUCGGGCUAGAGUGCAGAAGGGGCAACUGGAAUUCUCGGUGUAGCGGUGAAAUGCGUAGAUAUCGAGAGGAACACCUGCGGCGAAGGCGGGUUGCUGGGCUGACACUGACGCUGAGGCGCGAAAGCUAGGGGAGCGAACGGG
rnacentral:rRNA from 1 species